rnacentral:rRNA from 1 species
UUUUCCGGUUGAUCCUGCCGGAGGUCACUGCUAUUGGGAUUCGACUAAGCCAUGCGAGUCGAGAGGGUUCGGCCCUCGGCUGACGGCUCAGUAACACGUGGAUAAUCUGCCCUAAGGUGGAGGAUAACCUCGGGAAACUGAGAAUAAUACUCCAUAAGUCUAGGAUGCUGGAAUGCACUUAGGCUGAAAACUUCGGUGCCUUAGGAUGAGUCUGCGGACUAUCAGGUUGUAGUCAGGGUAAGGACCUGACUAGCCUACGACGGAUACGGGUUGUGAGAGCAAUAACCCGGAGAUGAUAUCUGAGACACGAUAUCAGGCCCUACGGGGCGCAGCAGGCGCGAAAACUUCACACUGCGCGGAAGCGCGACGAGGGAAUCCCAAGUGUAUGCACGUAAGUGUAUACUGUUUCUCUGUCUAAAAAGCAGAGAGAGUAAGAGCUGGGUAAGACGGGUGCCAGCCGCCGCGGUAAUACCUGCAGCUCGAGUGGUGAUCGUUAUUAUUGGGCCUAAAACGUCCGUAGCCGGUCUUGUAAAUGCCUGGGUAAAUCGUAUGGCUUAACCAUACGAAUUCCGGGUAGACUGUUAGACUUGAGACCGGGAGAAGCUAGAGGUACUCCUGGGGUAGAGGUGAAAUUCUGUAAUCCUAGGGGGACCACCAGUGGCGAAGGCGUCUAGCUAGAACGGGUCUGACGGUGAGGGACGAAGCCCUGGGGCGCAAACGGGAUUAGAUACCCCGGUAGUCCAGGGUGUAAACGCUGCUUGCUUGAUGUUAGUCUGGCUCCGAGCCAGAUUAGUGUCGGAGAGAAGUUGUUAAGCAAGCUGCCUGGGAAGUACGGCCGCAAGACUGAAACUUAAAGGAAUUGGCGGGGGAGCACAGCAACGGGUGGAGCGUGCGGUUUAAUUGGAUUCAACGCCGGAAAUCACUAGU